CACUAAAUUAGAAGGUGCGCAGGUGGGCUCAGGAAUCUCCAUGUCAGCACAUGCAUCUCUGAGGACCACUGCUCCAGAUAAUAAUAAAGUACUUGAAGUCAAGAAUCAUCUUAUUCACCUAUGUCAUUCCCUUUGCAUAUACAGUUAGAACCAUGUCCUGAAUGUAUUGGGCCCUCAAGAAACAGUGGAAUAAACUGCAAUAAAAGCAUCUAAUUUGGAAAACUGUG